UACGUAGGGUGCAAGCGUUGUCCGGAAUUAUUGGGCGUAAAGAGCUCGUAGGCGGUCUGUCGCGUCGGAUGUGAAAAUCCAGGGCUCAACCCUGGACCUGCAUUCGAUACGGGCAGGCUCGAGUUCGGUAGGGGAGACUGGAAUUCCUGGUGUAGCGGUGAAAUGCGCAGAUAUCAGGAGGAACACCGGUGGCGAAGGCGGGUCUCUGGGCCGAUACUGACGCUGAGGAGCGAAAGCGUGGGGAGCGAACAGG
rnacentral:rRNA from 1 species